rnacentral:rRNA from 1 species
AUGGGGCACCACCUGGUUGGGUUCAAAAGUACAAGAUAUGAGCCAUAUAGACAGGAGCAACAUCACAAUGAAUCUGAGGAGAGACGGCCGUACAAUGAGAGACAGAGAACUUCAUCAUUGUUGCUCCCUCCAAGAUAUGCAUUGCUGCAUGUGCCAAGGGUGACACCACCGACGCCCAUAAACCUGGGAGAACAACAAACACCAGAGGCAGCGCAGAGCUAUACACAUCCACCUGACAUUGAAGCUUAUGUUCUACCAAGGCCAGAGAUGAGGUUUGAAACUUUCGAAGAAAGUAAGAACUUCUACAAUGUAUAUGCAAAGCACGCUGGUUUUGCUGUCAGGGAAGGCCCCAAGAUUAAGACCAGAGCCUACCUUUAUUGCACGUGCCAUGGAGUUUAUGAAUCAAAGGUGUCUGAAGCAAAUAGACAACAUAACAAGACGACAACCAGAACUAACUGCGGGGCUAAAAUGAGGCUGAAGAAGGAAAAGGAUGGAACAUUGGUCGUAAAAGAGAUAGUCUGGGAACACAACCACAGGCUACAGCUCACCGCAGAAAUGCUUGUCUUCUUGCACUCCCACAAAAACUUUGACAAAACAAUCUUGGAGUACGUCAAGUACCUGCAGUUCAAAGGCAUUGAACACACGCAAAUCAUGAGCAUUCUAGGCGUGAUGACCCUGGUAGCUACUUCCUCGAAAGGAAUGCCAAAGACCCGAUUAACCUGUAAGUAA